rnacentral:rRNA from 1 species
GGUUUUUUGAAAAUAAUUUAAAAUUUAACCUGCUCAAUGAAUAUUUAAAUAGCUGCAGUAUUUUGACUGUACAAAGGUAGCAUAAUCAAUAGUUUUUUAAUUAAAAGCUAGAAUGAAUGGUUUGAUGAAAUAAAAUCUUUUUUAAAUUUAAAUUUUAAAAUUUUUUUAUUAGUAAAAAAACUAAUAUAAUAUUAAAAGACGAGAAGACCCUAUAGAGUUUUAUAUAUUUAUUUUAUAAUUAAUAAAUUUAUUUUAAUAUUAAAUUAUAAUUAUAUAUUUAAUUGGGGUGAUUAUUAAAAGUUAAUAAACUUUAAUUUUUAAUAAACAAUAAUAAUUGAAUUUUUGAUCUUUAAUUUUGAAUUAAAAAAAUAAAUUACCUUAGGGAUAACAGUGUAAUUUUUUUAGAAAGAUCUAAUAGAUAAAAAAGAUUGC